AUACUCGUGUUAUUACAGCCCUAUCUUCCUGCCCUUAUGCCCCAAAAAUGCACUUUUUUCUCUGUCAUAAAAAUUGUCAACAACUACGAAAAGAUAAAACUGAU